UUUGUCCUUCAGCUAUGGUGUUACUCUGCUGGAAUAAAACCUUGCAAAAGAGCCUUUCUUGCCUCUAUCGCUGAGCCAGCUGCAGGUAUUUCUCUGGGGGCGGCUGACAACCCUCGAGGCUUCGAGGACCAGCCAAUUCAGCCAGACCUCCUCUGAGAUUUUUUUUCUGGCACACUGAGGUGUUCUUUCCAGGUGCUACAGCUGAGUUGUCAGAAACCCAGGACAUCCCUCUGGAUGCCCUGGAUGGCUCAAAAUCUUGGCAGGGGCUCGGAGACCCUGGCAGGAAGCCAAAGACACCUGGGAAUUUGAUCUCAACCCAUGAAGCAAAUUACCAACUCUAUAUGAAGCAUUGCAAGUCACAAAAGUUUAG